AACUUUGCGCUUGGGUCAAUGACGCAGCUAGUGAGUUUCUAACCGAGGCGCGUCAAUUGCUGGUUGAAAACUAUUUCCAAACCCCCUCUUAGGCCUGGGUUUGAGCCCAGGCCUUCCAGAAUUUCUGGAAGGGCUCCCCGAGAAUUUCUGGAAGGGCU